AAGUCGUAACAAGGUUUCCGUAGGUGAACCUGCGGAAGGAUCAUUAACACUUUUUCAUACUAUACUCUACGGGGGAAAAGAAGAAGAAAUGCCUAAAUUUCCUUUUAGGUUAUUCUCUCUCUUUUCUCUUUUUUUUUUUCACCCCGAAAAAAAGCGAACAUGUUGGUGGGAUGAAUCAAGUUGUGGAUCACAACUUGAUUUAUUUCCCGCACUUUUUCCUUUUCCUUUUUUAAUUAUUAUUAUUAUCACCACAUGAACUUUUUCUAAGACUGAACUUUUUUUUUAAUUUCUUUUGGGGUCUUUUCCCCCAAAAAAAAAUUAAAAAAAUAAAAACUAAAAAACUUAAAAAACAACUCUUAGCAACGGAUAUCUUGGUUCUC
rnacentral:misc_RNA from 1 species